rnacentral:tRNA from 4 species
GCCAACGUAGCUUAGCUGGUAGAGCACCUGAUUCGUAAUCAGGAGGUCGGGGGUUCGAGUCCCCCCGUUGGCU